UACGUAGGGGGGCUAGCGUUGUCCGGAUUUAUUGGGCGUAAAGAGCGUGUAGGCGGCCAGGUAGGUCUGCUGUGAAAAACUCGAGGCUCAACCUCGAGCUGUCGGCGGAAACCAUCUGGCUAGAGUCCGGAAGAGGAGAGUGGAAUUCCUGGUGUAGCGGUGAAAUGCGCAGAUAUCAGGAAGAACACCCGUGGCGAAGGCGGCUCUCUGGGGACGGUACUGACGCUA
rnacentral:rRNA from 1 species